rnacentral:tRNA from 1 species
AUUCAAGAAAUGAUUUUCAUAUAUGGUUUCGACCCAUACUUAGGUAGCCUUUUACCCUUGUUUC